ensembl:lncRNA
CAGGCUCCAAGUGCUUCCUCUGACGGAGACAAACCCGCACACUUCUAUUCUUAGAGUAGCCAGAUUAAGACGGAAAACUGUUUCCAGUGUUUCAAUGUCUUCUUGUAAAUAUGCAAGCAACAUCUCGGGGAGCAGUGUGAUCAUCUGCUUGAAACUGGUGAAGAGCCGUCGCCGUUUUAAAUAAAGAGCGGUUACGUGACUGGAGCGGAAAGAAGCCUGUUAUUAACACCUGAUGGAGCAGCAUGAACUCGCUUUCCCGCCCUUCACUGACGGGGGCGCAGGGAGAGGCCACGGUCAGACCACUUCUCUCUCCUCCUCCUUUCCACAGAGACACAGACCUAGCUCUUGAGCAACUUCCCAGGAAAACCUUACUGGGAACAGAGUUCCUUAAAACGUCUCGCACUUGACUUGUGAUCUUCAUCUAACAUUAGUCUCAAAAACAUAUUCAGUUCGUUUCUUACGUUUUGAGGACUUGGGCAAGAAUACACAUAGAGACUCACCAUAUGUGAACGUAGCUUAAAAUUUAAGCCAUCAGAUUUUUCAUUAAAAUGGAUCUUAUGUUUAUACUUGACAAAUACUCUUCACGAUGGCCUCGCAGGCCAGGUUCAGAUGUGGAGUUCUCGCUUCCUUAUAUACCCAUGGCUGAACAGCAGAUCAAAGGGAGAGCUGGUCGCUGCCUUCAAGUUCCCGGCCCGUGAGCCUCUGCUCCCUGGUUAUCACCGGGGUGAUUUGGACAACCAAGUCCAGGCCCUGCUCUUCCCGGUCCAAACCCCUUCCAAGUAGCCGGUCAGAAUACUUUUCAAGGCUCAGAUACACAGACACCCGAAUUACUCUCAGGGCCUUGUGGUACAGUUGCCAGGUUUCUGGAGCAGAGUCUGGAGUGCAGAGUCUUAGGUUCUAAACGGGAAACUCUCCUUGACCCUGAAAUCCCUGAUCCCAUGGAAAGGAGUGUAGCCAUGGGUAGUGAAGUGCAGGACUCCUUACAAUUCAAGAUGCUCUGAAGCAAGGACUCCUGUGCUUUGUGAUCUGUUAAUUGGGUUUAAGGUCUUAUCUCACUCAUCGACUGAGAAGACAAAUUAGAAGGUGGGCAUCAGGAAAGGCAUGAGGAGGGGAAAACACUAGAAAGCUUUUAAAAUUACUCCCCCUUUCAUUGGUUGUUCUGAAGUUGUUGUGGUCUAGAUGACACUUUUCUUAGAACUAAAUGAUGGAAAUAUAUUUAAGACAAACGUGCAUAAAGCGGUUUAGAAACAUGACUGAUGUUACUAUAGCAGUAAUAUCCAUCUUCAAACACUUUACAGAGCGAUCCCACUGAUUAGCUUCCGUUUUAAAUAGUGACUUACAUUCAUUAGGCUUCUAUUAUUCCAGUAUUAUGGUUUCAUGCAUAACAGUUUCAAAGCAACAAUUUUUGGCAACAUAAGGAAUGGAAUGUUUCAAGAAGCAAUAAUUUUUGUUCUCGCUGGUUUUCAUGUGAUAAACUCUGUGAAUAUAUUCAGAGAUCUUUGCAAAUGACAAGUCUGUAAUUUGGUAAUAUGGUCUAUAAUACAAAUUAUAAAGCAAGCACAAAGGACGAUGUAGCUCCUAUUUACUCUCUUCAGUUACAAGUUAUUUGUAUCCUGUUAUGCUAAUUGGAGCUGAUAUGUUAACUAGUUUCUGUACUAUAGAAAAGAAAGCAAUGAUAAAAUAAAUGCGAUGGACCCGCCUAAUAGAUAUUACUCAGCAA